CUCCAAGCAGACCCAGAAAGGGCAUCUGAGCCUGUUAGCUGCGUCGUCACUAGCUAUCAACCAAUCAGCGAUCGAAGGCGGACCACAUUAACCAAUCAGCGCUCAGGACUUCACAAACUACGACAAGUCGCUAAGCUCAAACUGCGCGGGGGAAGUGACAGCUGAAGAAAUCGCGAAAUCGUGCAAAUCUUGAACAAAGUUUGCACAAAUCUGAUUCAACGACUCAGUUAUGAUCUGGAACUGAAGCGACCCGAGCUGAAACUGAUCACUUCUCCUUCACACCUGCGACUCAUGAGGCUGACACACCGGCGUGACUUUCAUCAGCAGCGAGCUCUGGUGAUAAGUUAGCAACACUGAGUUACCUUAAGGUCAACUAGAUGUGCAGCACAACAGGUGCUGUGAGGUUAUCGAGUCAUGAAAUUCAGAUAUGAAAUGAAAUGUCACGUUAGCAGCUGCAUCCUGGUUAACCUCACACAUUACAGCAGGCCUAUUGGAACCAUUUGACCCCUGCUUGUUUGAGCUAGUUAGCUGGCAUGGUGGAGAUAAUCACAGUUAAAUCUCAACACGAGUAUGAAUGCUGAUUGAACCGCUUACAUUAACCUCUAAAUACCUGCAUGUCUGCCGGGAUGCUAGCAGUGAAACUAACGUGAUGCCACGCUGCUAGUUCCCCCUGACUAACAUUCCUGUGAGAUAGCGUCUCUAUCUCCAUCGAUUAGGGCGUGUUAGUGCUUCUAACUUACCUGUUGCGGGUGGAGAAAGCUCCCAGCGACGGGGAAAUGUUUCCCAAGCAGAGGAUCACCUUGUUUGACUUAAGCAGGGCCAUGGUUGUGCUGCGCUUGGGAGCUGAGCCUAGCAGGAUGUGGACGGAUGUGAAGGGCAGGCACGACCACGACGCUACGCUCCUUCAACGUGCUGACGUCAGAGCAGCAAUCAGCACGUUCAGUACUUAACAGGAAUGGCAAACUCACUGUCUGUCUAAAGAACUGGAGGAGCAUCACACAACAGGGCCUGGAAGUCCAUGAAACCGUGUUCCUGCAGGGCACCUCACUGGCACCCCAACACAGUGACAGAGCAGGACACACACUUGGCUCUCAUGUGGGACUGCUACUGUGUGAAGAAGAUAUGGAUAUUUCCAACAAACCUAGGUCCUUCAGCAAAGCAUCCAGCUCCUGCUCAUCAAUGUAGCCGUUACCAUCCUGAAGAAAGAGACAGCACAAGAGAUCAAAAGGACUCUCUCAGUUUGACGGUAAUCCUACCUCAAACUUCAGCAGGAAAUUUUCCUGGACUGGCAAGAGCCUGUAGUAAGAAACAAAAAGACAAAAAAAAAAC